rnacentral:rRNA from 1 species
UGGGGAAUAUUGCACAAUGGGCGCAAGCCUUAUGCAGCCAUGCCUCGUGUAUGAAGAAGGCCUUCGGGUUGUAAAGUACUUUCAGCGGGGAGGAAGGGAGUAAAGUUAAUACCUUUGCUCAUUGACGUUACCCGCAGAAGAAGCACCGGCUAACUCCGUGCCAGCAGCCGCGGUAAUACGGAGGGUGCAAGCGUUAAUCGAAAUUACUGGGCGUAAAGCGCACGCAGGCGGUUUGUUAAGUCAGAUGUGAAAUCCCCGGGCUCAACCUGGGAACUGCAUCUGAUACUGGCAAGCUUGAGUCUCGUAGAGGGGGGUAGAAGUCCAGGUGUAGCGGUGAAAUGCGUAGAGAUCUGGAGGAAUACCGGUGGCGAAGGCGGCCCCCUGGACGAAGACUGACGCUAAGGUGCGAAAGCGUGGGGAGCAAACAGG